rnacentral:rRNA from 1 species
UACGGAGGGUGCGAGCGUUGUCCGGAAUCACUGGGCGUAAAGGGCGCGUAGGUGGCCUGUGGAAGUCUGCGGUGAAAGCCCGGCGCUCAACGCCGGGUCGGCCGUGGAUACUCUCGGGCUUGAGCUUACUAGAGGCAGAUGGAAUUCCGGGUGUAGCGGUGGAAUGCGUAGAGAUCCGGAAGAACACCGGUGGCGAAGGCGGCCUUCUGGACAGUGACUGACGCUGAGACGCGAAAGCGUGGGGAGCAAACAGG